CGGACACGGUCCGCUGUGUUAGUUGUAUCACGGUUAUACGUCAGACUGCAGUGUUGUAUAUUGUCUUCAACUAGUCUCUCUGUUUCCGUGCAGGUGACUGGAAGUCUGGUUUAAUGUGUGUGUGUGUCCCAUCGGUUUGUGAAUCAAGUUACCAAAGGAUUGAGCGGUCAACUGGACACGUUUGCAAUUGAGAGCAGAACUUCUCCAGACUGACGUGAAGAUAGCUAGUAUAUGGUCGGUGGAAGCAUUAGGCAAAGUUGCUGCAACAUUCCUGGUA